rnacentral:lncRNA from 1 species
UAAAACAGACGGGCAGCAUGAACUAGGCCUAGCAUAGACAAGGGCAGGUGAUGCAAGAUUUGAGGGUACUAAACUUGUAACAACCACUUAUUGAAGCAAGCAAUUAUGAUCUGUAAAUUUAAGAUGAGGUCAAUCAUUUGCAAUAAAGGCUGAUACAGAUUACAGGCUAAAAGGUUUAAGCCUAAGAUUCAAAUAAUACCCUAAUGUAUAAGCUUAUGGGUAGCUGGCAAUACCCUAACGUAUAAAUCGCGUGGAUCAAUUAUGAAUGCAAACAUAGCAUACACAUUACAGGCUAAAAGGUUUAAGCCUAAGAUUCAAAUAAUACCCUAAUGUAUAAGCUUAUGGGUAGCUGGCAAUACCCAAACGUAUAAAUCGCGUGGAUCAAUUAC